CUGUUCCCUAGAGUUCCCUUGAUCACUUCACUGGGGAUAAAUUUAUGAACUCUCAGACGAGGGGUGGAUUUUAUACCACUGAAGUGUUUGGAGGAACUCCGGGGUUCAU
rnacentral:pre_miRNA from 1 species